AACGCUGGCGGCAGGCUUAACACAUGCAAGUCGAGCGCCCCGCAAGGGGAGCGGCAGACGGGUGAGUAACGCGUGGGAACGUACCCUUUUCUACGGAAUAACCCAGGGAAACUUGGACUAAUACCGUAUGUGCCCUUCGGGGGAAAGAUUUAUCGGAAAAGGAUCGGCCCGCGUUGGAUUAGCUAGUUGGUGGGGUAAAGGCCUACCAAGGCGACGAUCCAUAGCUGGUCUGAGAGGAUGAUCAGCCACAUUGGGACUGAGACACGGCCCAAACUCCUACGGGAGGCAGCAGUGGGGAAUAUUGGACAAUGGGCGCAAGCCUGAUCCAGCCAUGCCGCGUGAGUGAUGAAGGCCCUAGGGUUGUAAAGCUCUUUCACCGGUGAAGAUAAUGACGGUAACCGGAGAAGAAGCCCCGGCUAACUUCGUGCCAGCAGCCGCGGUAAUACGAAGGGGGCUAGCGUUGUUCGGAUUUACUGGGCGUAAAGCGCACGUAGGCGGAUCGAUCAGUCAGGGGUGAAAUCCCAGAGCUCAACUCUGGAACUGCCUUUGAUACUGUCGAUCUGGAGUAUGGAAGAGGUGAGUGGAAUUCCNAGUGNAGAGGUGAAAUUCNUAGAUNUUCGGAGGAACACCAGUGGCGAAGGCGGCUCACUGGUCCNUUACUGACGCUGAGG
rnacentral:rRNA from 1 species